rnacentral:rRNA from 1 species
AUUGAACGCUGGCGGCAGGCCUAACACAUGCACGUCGAACGAGUGGCGGACGGGUGAGUAAUGGCUGGGAAACUGCCUGAUGGAGGGGGAUAACUACUGGAAAAGGUAGCUAAUACCGCAUACCAUCAGAUGUGCCCAGAUGGGAUUAGCUAGUUGGUGGGGUACCGUCGCACCAAGGCGACGAUCCCUAGCUGGUUUGAGAGGAGGACCAACAACCAGGGAGCAGAGACACGGUCCAGACUCCUGCGGGAGGCAGCAGUGGUGAAUAUUGCACAAUGGGCGCAAGCAUGAUGCAGCCAUGCCGCGUGUAGGAAGAGGGCCUCCGGGUUGUAAAGUACUUUCAGCGGGGAGGCGUUACCCGCAGAAGAAGCACCGGCUAACUCCGGGCCAGCAGCCGCGGUAAUAC